UGCACCGAAGCUGCGGCAGCGACACUGUGUGUUGUUGGGUAGGGGAGCGUUCUGUAAGCCUGUGAAGGUGUGUCGUGAGGCAUGCUGGAGGUAUCAGAAGUGCGAAUGCUGACAUAAGUAACGAUAAAGCGGGUGAAAAGCCCGCUCGCCGGAAGACCAAGGGUUCCUGUCCAACGUUAAUCGGGGCAGGGUGAGUCGACCCCUAAGGCGAGGCCGAAAGGCGUAGUCGAUGGGAAACGGGUUAAUAUUCCCGUACUUGGUGUUACUGCGAAGGGGGGACGGAGAAGGCUAUGUUGGCCGGGCGACGGUUGUCCCGGUUUAAGCGUGUAGGCUGGUUUUCCAGGCAAAUCCGGAAAAUCAAGGCUGAGGCGUGAUGACGAGGCACUACGGUGCUGAAGCAACAAAUGCCCUGCUUCCAGGAAAAGCCUCUAAGCAUCAGGUAACAUCAAAUCGUACCCCAAACCGACACAGGUGGUCAGGUAGAGAAUACCAAGGCGCUUGAGAGAACUCGGGUGAAGGAACUAGGCAAAAUGGUGCCGUAACUUCGGGAGAAGGCACGCUGACACGUAGGUGAAGUGAUUUACUCAUGGAGCUGAAGUCAGUCGAAGAUACCAGCUGGCUGCAACUGUUUAUUAAAAACACAGCACUGUGCAAACACGAAAGUGGACGUAUACGGUGUGACGCCUGCCCGGUGCCGGAAGGUUAAUUGAUGGGGUCAGCGCAAGCGAAGCUCCUGAUCGAAGCCCCGGUAAACGGCGGCCGUAACUAUAACGGUCCUAAGGUAGCGAAAUUCCUUGUCGGGUAAGUUCCGACCUGCACGAAUGGCGUAAUGAUGGCCAGGCUGUCUCCACCCGAGACUCAGUGAAAUUGAACUCGCUGUGAAGAUGCAGUGUACCCGCGGCAAGACGGAAAGACCCCGUGAACCUUUACUAUAGCUUGACACUGAACAUUGAGCCUUGAUGUGUAGGAUAGGUGGGAGGCUUUGAAGUGUGGACGCCAGUCUGCAUGGAGCCGACCUUGAAAUACCACCCUUUAAUGUUUGAUGUUCUAACGUGGACCCGUUACCCGGGUUGCGGACAGUGUCUGGUGGGUAGUUUGACUGGGGCGGUCUCCUCCUAAAGAGUAACGGAGGAGCACGAAGGUUGGCUAAUCCUGGUCGGACAUCAGGAGGUUAGUGCAAUGGCAUAAGCCAGCUUGACUGCGAGCGUGACGGCGCGAGCAGGUGCGAAAGCAGGUCAUAGUGAUCCGGUGGUUCUGAAUGGAAGGGCCAUCGCUCAACGGAUAAAAGGUACUCCGGGGAUAACAGGCUGAUACCGCCCAAGAGUUCAUAUCGACGGCGGUGUUUGGCACCUCGAUGUCGGCUCAUCACAUCCUGGGGCUGAAGUAGGUCCCAAGGGUAUGGCUGUUCGCCAUUUAAAGUGGUACGCGAGCUGGGUUUAGAACGUCGUGAGACAGUUCGGUCCCUAUCUGCCGUGGGCGCUGGAGAACUGAGGGGGGCUGCUCCUAGUACGAGAGGACCGGAGUGGACGCAUCACUGGUGUUCGGGUUGUCAUGCCAAUGGCACUGCCCGGUAGCUAAAUGCGGAAGAGAUAAGUGCUGAAAGCAUCUAAGCACGAAACUUGCCCCGA
rnacentral:rRNA from 1 species